CCCCCCCCCUCCAAAUUCUGUUUAAAGAUAGACCACGGAAGCUUCAAUUCAUGUGAUUUUUCUCUUUCUGAAUUUCAGUUCCAGGGCUACCCAUUUUGGGACAGAAUCUAACACCAUCUCAUUCACAAGAUGUUCCCUAUAGUCAGCAUCUACUCUCAGAAGCCCUGAAAUAAGAAGAUUUGAUUUUGGUGUCUUUUCCUUUCUAAGUCCCUUUCUUUUUUUCAGGAUCUCCUUGGAUUCUCUAAGUCGGGUCUGUCGACGACUGCCCAUUCCACUAGGCUCGACCCUACAGACCUGACCCAUGCUUUAUGCCUUCUACUUUCCCUUUCCAGUUCAUCAAAAUAUCUCAGUCUUUAUUCAGGACCUUUGGAGGCAGUCUGGUUAAGACAUGAGCUGGGGCAGAGAGGGGUGCUUCCUUGAUCGUCUUCCCAGCUCCAAACCAAGUGGAACAGCUAAUCAUGUUUCAAACUACCUUCAAAAGAGCCCAGGAAAUAAGAAUGAAGAUGAGUAAAAUAAAAAGAGAAUAAG